rnacentral:rRNA from 1 species
GACGAACGCUGGCGGCGUGCCUAAUACAUGCAAGUAGAACGCUGAAGGAGGAGCUUGCUUCUCUGGAUGAGUUGCGAACGGGUGAGUAACGCGUAGGUAACCUGCCUGGUAGCGGGGGAUAACUAUUGGAAACGAUAGCUAAUACCGCAUAAUAGUAGAUGUUGCAUGACAUUUGCUUAAAAGGUGCAAUUGCAUCACUACCAGAUGGACCUGCGUUGUAUUAGCUAGUUGGUGAGGUAACGGCUCACCAAGGCAACGAUACAUAGCCGACCUGAGAGGGUGAUCGGCCACACUGGGACUGAGACACGGCCCAGACUCCUACGGGAGGCAGCAGUAGGGAAUCUUCGGCAAUGGACGGAAGUCUGACCGAGCAACGCCGCGUGAGUGAAGAAGGGUUUCGGAUCGUAAAGCUCUGUUGUAAGAGAAGAACGAGUGUGAGAGUGGAAAGUUCACACUGUGACGGUAUCUUACCAGAAAGGGACGGCUAACUACGUG